UAGGGAACCUUCCACAAUGGACGCAAGUCUGAUGGAGCAACGCCGCGUGAGUGAAGAAGGUUUUCGGAUCGUAAAGCUCUGUUGUUGGUGAAGAAGGAUAGAGGCAGUAACUGGUCUUUAUUUGACGGUAAUCAACCAGAAAGUCACGGCUAACUACGUGCCAGCAGCCGCGGUAAUACGUAGGUGGCAAGCGUUGUCCGGAUUUAUUGGGCGUAAAGCGAGCGCAGGCGGAAUGAUAAGUCUGAUGUGAAAGCCCACGGCUCACCGUGGAACUGCAUCGGAAACUGUCAUUCUUGAGUGCAGAAGAGGAGAGUGGAACUCCAUGUGUAGCGGUGGAAUGCGUAGAUAUAUGGAAGAACACCAGUGGCGAAGGCGGCUCUCUGGUCUGCAACUGACGCUGAGGCUCGAAAGCAUGGGUAGCGAACAGGAUUAGAUACCCUG
rnacentral:rRNA from 1 species